rnacentral:rRNA from 1 species
CGCGUAGGCGGCUUGGCAAGUCAGAUGUGAAAGCCCCGGGCUUAACUCGGGAAUUGCAUCUGAAACUGCUUUGCUUGAGUCCUGGAGGGGAUAGUGGAAUUCCCAGUGUAGCGGUGAAAUGCGUAGAUAUUGGGAGGAACACCUGCGGCGAAGGCGGCUAUCUGGACAGUGACUGACGCUGAGGCGCGAAAGCUAGGGGAGCGAACGGGAUUAGAUACCCCGGUAGUCCUAGCCGUAAACGAUGGGCACUUGGUGUUGGGGGUAUUGAGUCCCUCGGUGCCGGAGUUAACACGCUAAGUGCCCCGCCUGGGGAGUACGGUCGCAAGACUGAA